UCGCUUUUAAUGCUAGCAGGAUAAAGUCAAAUUAGCCUGCUAGCAGUCUGUAGCCUAAAUGCUGCUAUGAGGAGGACAGACUCCACUCACUACUAGCGAGUUUGUUGUACUUAUUUUGUCUCUCUUCGUGAUGUCAAGACUUCCCUAAAACGAUUCAUAACGUCGAAGAUAACAGCUUCAUCCCACCUACUAAGGAGUCAACGCGGGGAUGAGCACGACUGCUGCAGCAGAGAGGGUCAGGAAGUUUACAGCCAAUGAGGGAUCCUGCAGGGACCCAAUACAUGAGGAACAGAAGACCAACAAUUAGCACAAAGCAAACUGGCAUGAUGAUGUGGAACUGGAUGAAGGUACACUUUGUACAGCAACAGCUCGGCACGAAGUGCUCCUCU